UACGAAGGGGGCGAGCGUUAUUCGGAAUGAUUGGGUGUAAAGGGCGCGUAGGCGGUAUGAUAAGUCUGUCGUUUAAUCCUCCGGCUUAACCGGAGACAUGCGAUGGAUACUGUCGUGCUAGAGUAUUGGAGAGAGAAGUGGAAUUCUCGGAGUAGCGGUAAAAUGCGUAGAUCUCGAGAGGAACGCCAAUGGCGAAGGCAGCUUCUUGGACAAUUACUGACGCUGAUGCGCGAAGGCAUGGGGAGCAAACAGG
rnacentral:rRNA from 1 species